AUUGAACGCUGGCGGCAGGCCUAACACAUGCAAGUCGAACGAGUGGCGGACUGGUGAGUAAUGUCUGAGAAACUGCCCGAUGGAGGGGGAUAACUACUGGAAAAGGUAGAUAAUACCGCAUACCAUCGGAUGUGCCCAGAUGGGAUUAGCUAGUAGGUGUGGUAAAGGCUCACCUAGGCGACGAUCCCUAGCUGGUCCGAGAGGAUGACCAGCCACACUGGAACUCAGACACGGUCCAGACUCCUACGGGAGGAAGCAGUGGGGAAUAUGGCACAAUGGGCGCAAGCCUGAUGCAGCCAUGCCGCGUGUAUGAAGAAGGCCUUCGGGUUGUAAAGUACGUUCAGCGAGGAGGCGUUACUCGCAGAAGAAGCACCGGCUAACUCCGUGCCAGCAGCCGCGGUAAUUC
rnacentral:rRNA from 1 species